rnacentral:rRNA from 1 species
GAUGAACGCUGGCGGCGUGCCUAAUACAUGCAAGUCGAACGAAACUUCUUUAUCACCGAGUGCUUGCACUCACCGAUAAAGAGUUGAGUGGCGAACGGGUGAGUAACACGUGGGCAACCUGCCCAAAAGAGGGGGAUAACACUUGGAAACAGGUGCUAAUACCGCAUAACCAUAGUUACCGCAUGGUAACUAUGUAAAAGGUGGCUAUACUACCGCUUUUGGAUGGGCCCGCGGCGCAUUAGCUAGUUGGUAGGGUAAAGGCUUACCAAGGCAAUGAUGCGUAGCCGAAUUGAGAGGCUGAUCGGCCACAUUGGGACUGAGACACGGCCCAAACUCCUACGGGAGGCAGCAGUAGGGAAUCUUCCACAAUGGGCGAAAGCCUGAUGGAGCAACGCCGCGUGGGUGAAGAAGGUCUUCGGAUCGUAAAACCCUGUUGUUAGAGAAGAAAGUGCGUGAGAGUAACUGUUCACGUUUCGACGGUAUCUAACCAGAAAGCCACGGCUAACUACGUG